CGAAAUGCGAUAAUUAAUGUGAAUUGCAGAAUUCAGUGAAUCAUCGAGUCUUUGAACGCACAUUGCGCCCCCUGGUAUUCCGGGGGGCAUGCCUGUCCGAGCGUCAUUGCUGCCCUCAAGCACGGCUUGUGUGUUGGGCUUCCGUCCCUGGCAACGGGGACGGGCCCAAAAGGCAGUGGCGGCACCAUGUCUGGUCCUCGAGCGUAUGGGGCUUUGUCACCCGCUCCCGUAGGUCCAGCUGGCAGCUAGCCUCGCAACCAAUCUUUUUAACCAGGUUGACCUCGGAUCAGGUAGAGAUACCCGCUGAACUUAAGC
rnacentral:misc_RNA from 1 species